CUAUUUUAUGUUCUGAUAUUUAUCUGGAAACAUUAUUUUUGUGUGUUUGAGUUCAGAACAAAAAGUAUCCAAAAAAGAAAGUAAUGGUUAUGAUCAGAAAGUGCUGAUUUAACAAUGAUGAUCUUGGAGAUGAUAGUGAUGGUAGUGGCCAUGUGCCAAUGAGGACUGUAGAGCUACAGAAAUGAUAGUGAUAGAGAUGUGAAAGGGACUAUGUCAACGUAAGAGUAUUCAUGGUGGUGAUGUGACAAUUCUUAUGGUGCCAGGGGAUGUAAAAGUGGCAUCCUUGUACAACAGGCUCUGGGGGCAAAACCGUAAUUCCAAGGUGGACCAAAGGUUUGGCAUCCAUUAGCAAACAUGGCCAAUAUGUGUUUGUGAUUUGGCUGAAUUACACUUAGUUGCUUACUGCUCCUCUUUUCUUAUCCACUUAACCAGUUAUGUUACCUGGUCCAGAUAUAAUCAAAAUGUCUAGGAAGUGACUUGGAGGAAAAGAAAAGGUAAGGAAAAAUCAAGGGGGUCAAAAAGAUUGGUUACCAAACUGCAAAGACUUCUUGAGCUCCAGUUCUGAGAGAAUGAAUCUAAACUUGACCACUGAAGCUAAGGUAAGGAGAGUUGGCUUGAAUGGGAGAAGAGUGAUCCCAGGGAAGGCUAGGAGGGGGUGAGGUCACUUUACUUAUAGGUUCCCUUGAUUGUGAUACAAGGUUACUGGGGGAAACUUGUCAAGCUCAUUUCCCUUUCAAUUGGUGUAAGAUAGCAAGAAGUUUGUUGUGGGUAUUACCUUGUCCUUCUGUAAUAACAGCAAGUUUCUCCCCACAGCAGGGCCACCUACAACUGGAUUGCUUCACUAAGUCAUGCAGGCAUGUUGUCUGGUCCAGAUAUAAUCAAAAUAUAUUGUAAUUGACUCAGAGGCAAAGAAGAGGUAUUGCUUAUGGUUCCCUCCCAGCAACCCAUCCACUGCCAUGGAGGAGAGAAAAAGAGAAAAGUAGAAAGAAAAAGCAAUUCAGCCAAAGGAACCAAGGAAUCAACUAAGACUGAAGAUGUCCAUCACAUUCCAAAUGAGCAUCCUCCCACUACUUCCGUGAAGGGAAAGAGGUAUACCUCAUGUUUCCCUCCUAACCAGCCAGCCAUGUCCAUGGGGGCAGGAGGGAAGGAAGAGUUGAAAGAAAAAGCAAUUUAACCAAAGGAACCAAGAUGUAAACUGAGUCAAAAAGUCUAUACUACAUUCCACACCAUGAGUCUCCCUCUUCUCAAGUGAAGGGAAAGAGUCAUGUUUCCUGGUCCACUUCUAAUCAGACUAUGUGAAGAGUAAACUGUAUGAAAGUAAAAGUAUAUGAAAAGAGGCAAAAGAGAGGUAAGAAAGGAUGAUGGGGGCAAAAAGGAGGGGUUGCCAAGUUAGGAAAUGGCUACUGAGCUAAGGUAAGAAGUUGAGUUGGCUUCGGUGUAAGAUGAGUGAUCUCAGGAAAAGGCUAGAGGUGGGUGGGGGGCACUGUAUUUAUGGGUUCUAUUUCUUACGAUCCAAAGUAGAUGGAAGAAACCUGUCAAGUCCUUUCCCCCUUCCAUUUGGAAUAAGUUCCCAAGACCUGUGUUAUGUGCUUUCACCUGUCCUUCUGUAGUAACAGCUGGAUCAUCCCCAUAGCUGGAGCCCAGGGCAUCACCCACAUCUACAAUGAAGCCUGCCACUCCAGGCUCCACCCCUGAGGAAUGAUAAAAAAGAGACUGAGAGAAAGAAUUUCCUUAAACAUGCAUAUAGCAGACCCGGAUUGUGUGUCAGGUGCCAGGCUAAGUUUUAGGACAUAAAGGCAAAAUCCAAAGCCCCCCUAAGCCUCUAGGAGCUUACAGGCUAUUGCAGGAAAAUGAUGCAUACAUAGUAAAUUAAAUACAAAAAAAUCAUACAGUUAUCGUUUACACAUUGCAGGGGUUAGGGGUGUGGCACCCCAUGAGCUGGGAAAUCCACAUAAAAUUUUUUGGCUCUCUGUUCAUACCAGAGAAGUCUUCCAGCUUCAUAGAUUUCCUUCUCUUUUUUCUUGAUAUUAUACAAGACCAUCCAUAUAUGUUAUGCAUUUCUGAAUUUCUAAACUUUUUUGGGGUUGUCUGCUGGCCUUCACAUGUCAUCUGCAGCUUCUGCAAAGCUCCUCCCAAAUUCCCAUUUAAUUUCUUAUGUUGACCUGCAAUAUAUUGAAAUCGUGAUGGAGAAAAUCACAAUGUGGAAGGGAUAACUGUACUUAAGUCUGGAGUGGGGAUAGUAGGGGCAAUCACCUGUGUGAUAUGAAGCAUAGUUUGUUCAAAAUACAUCAGGGGUUACAGAGGGCCUAGUGAAAGUGCAGGAAAGACUGAGGUAGCAACAAAGUUGGGGUUGACAGGGAUAGGGAUGAACCUGGGCAGGGAAGGGGGUCCUCAGCCCAGGUAAUUCCAGAACUUGGAAUCACAGUGAAUAGUAAGUUUCCAAGUCCAUCCCAGUGGAUUGCUUCAAGGCUUUAAUUCUUAAUUCAGGGGGUAUGGAGAGCAGGUGGUGGGGUGAACAAGGUAUACAAAUAGGUUAUAUGAUGUUUUGUUAGGUGAGUCAUGGCAAAAUGUUGUUCAAAAAUUCAUCAUUGUUUACUGUUCUUCUCUUUUCCACCCAGUCAAGUUUGGAGGCAGCUAGGUGGCACAGUGGCUAGAGCUCUGGGCCUAAAGUCAGGAAGACUUGAGUUC